rnacentral:lncRNA from 1 species
AGCUCCGUACCCCUAUAUCCACGACUCAGCUCCAUAUCCCUAUAUCCACAACUCAGCUCCGUACCCCUAUAUUCACAUGACUCAGCUCCGUACCCCUAUAUCCACAUGACUCAGCUAUGUACCCCUAUAUCCACAUGACUGAGCUCUGUACCCCUAUAAUCCACGACUGUCCGUACCCCUAUAUCCACAUGACUCAGCGCCGUACCCCUAUAUCCACAUGACUCAGCGCCGUACCCCUAUAUCCACAUGACUCAGCUCUGUACCCCUAUAAUCCACAUGACUCAGCGCCGUACCCCUAUAUCCACGACUCAGCUCCGUACCCCUAUAUCCACGACCCAGCUCCGUACCCCUAUAAUCCACAUGACUCAGCUCCGUACCCCUGUAUCCACAUGACUCAGCGCCGUACCCCUGUAUCCACGACUCGGCUCCAUACCCCGAUAUCCACGACUCGGCUCUGUGCCCCUAUAUCCACAACUCAGCGCUGUACCCCUACAUUCACGCAACUCAGCUCCGUACCCCUAUAAUCCACUUUACUCAGUGCCGUACCCCUAUAAUCCACAUUACUCAGCGCUGUACCCCUAUAUCUACAUGACUCAGAGCCUUACCCCAUAUCCAUGUGACUCAGCUCCUCACCCCUAUAUCCACGUGACUCAGCACCAUGCCCCUAUAAUCCACUUUACUCAGCGCUGUACCCCUAUAUCCACCGCACCUAGCGUGUGGGAAGUUCGUGCAGAGUUGUUUCUUUUUUUGAGACAGGGUCUUACUCUGUUGCCCAGGCUGGAGUGCAGUGGCGUGAUCAUAGCUCACUGCAGCCUUGACCUCCCGGGCUCAAAAAGAUUCUGC